rnacentral:lncRNA from 1 species
AGAUGAGGCUCAUCACUAAAUCGGUACCACCCUCACUAUUAUUGGGUGGAAGCCUCUCAAAUAUGAGACCGAAGCUGCAUCGAGUUUUGAGGCAGUCACCACAAGUAGAUCUCUUGAGCCAAUGAGAAUGGUAGAUUUGUGUGACUCCUUCGAUCGGAGCUUCUAGAGCUAUUGCCUAAUUCUUUACAGCAAUCUUCGAGCAUUGGAGAAUGCGCUAGACCACCUAGCCCCCUAGUUGGUCUCCCUUGAGGAAGCCAUAGAGGCUUGGG